rnacentral:rRNA from 1 species
GACGAACGCUGGCGGCGUGCUUAAUACAUGCAAGUCGAACGGAAAGGUCCUGCUUUUGUUGGUUGCUCGAGUGGCGAACGGGUGAGUAACACGUGUGUAACCUGCCCUUGACUUUGGGAUAACUUCAGGAAACUGGGGCUAAUACCGGAUAGGAUCUCCUGCUGCAUGGUGGGGGUUGGAAAGUUUCGGCGGUUGGGGAUGGACUCGCGGCUUAUCGGCUUGUUGGUGUGGUAGUGGCUUACCAAGGCUUUGACGGGUAGCCGGCAUGAGAGGGUGACCGGCAACAUGGGGACUAAGAGACGGCCCAGAAGCCAACGGGAGGCAGCAGGGGAGAAUAUGACACAAUAGGGGGGAGCGAGAGGCAGCGACGCCGGGUGCGUGAUAACGGCCUACGAGUGAUAAACAGCUUUCGCCGUAGACGAAGCGGGAGUGACGGUAAUGGGUAAAAAAGCAACGGCUAACUACGUG